UUUGGUGAGUUUUGAGGGAAAUCCAAUCUCUAAACCUAUGCAAUACACCGACCACUCCAUUUCAGAACGAACAUCAUAUGAACCGGAAUUGUCCAAUUUCAGGGACCAAUCGAAAUCGGAUUGAGUUCAAAACUUGGGGAACAUCAUAAUAUGGUGGGAGGAGUGAUUUGGUUGGUUUUGAGUGAAAUACAAUCUAUAAAUCUAUGCAAUAUACCAACCACUCCAUUUAAGAACAAACUUCGUACGAACCUGAAUUGUCCAAUUUCAUGGACCAAUC
rnacentral:lncRNA from 1 species